rnacentral:rRNA from 1 species
UUGUAAUCUCUAGAAGUGUUUUCCGCGUUGGACCGCACACAAGUCUGUUGGAAUACAGCGGCAUAGUGGUGAGACCCCCGUAUAUGGUGCGGACGCCCAACGCUUUGUGAUACACUUUCGAAGAGUCGAGUUGUUUGGGAAUGCAGCUCAAAUUGGGUGGUAAAUUCCAUCUAAAGCUAAAUAUUGGCGAGAGACCGAUAGCGAACAAGUACCGUGAGGGAAAGAUGAAAAGCACUUUGGAAAGAGAGUUAACAGUACGUGAAAUUGUUGGAAGGGAAACGCUUGAAGUCAGACUUGCUUGCCGAGCAAUCGGUUUGCAGGCCAGCAUCAGUUUUCCGGGGUGGAUAAUGGUAGAGAGAAGGUAGCAGGUUCGGCUGUGUUAUAGCUCUCUGCUGGAUACACCUUGGGGGACUGAGGAACGCAGUGUGCCUUACGGCGGAUUUCUCGAGAUCUUCACACUUAGGAUGCUGGUGGAAUGGCUUUAAACGAC